rnacentral:rRNA from 1 species
CCUACGUGAGGCAGCAGUGGGGAAUAUUGGACAAUGGGGGGAACCCUGAUCCAGCGACGCCGCGUGAGUGAAGAAGUAUUUCGGUAUGUAAAGCUCUAUCAGCCGGGAAGAAAAUGACGGUACCUGACUCAGAAGCCCCGGCUAACGCCGUGCCAGCAGCCGCAGUCAUACGUAGGGGGGAAGCGUUAACCGGAUUUAAUGGGUGUAAAGGGAGCGUAGAUGGGGCAGCAAGUCUGAUGUGAAAGGUCGGGGCCCAACCCCGGGACUGCAUUUGAAACUGUUGAACUGGAGUAGAGGAGAGGUAAGCGGAAUUCCUAGUGUAGCGGUGAAAUGCGUAGAUAUUAGGAGGAACACCAGUUGCGAAGGCAGCUUACUGGACUGUAACUGACGUUGAGGCUCGAAAGCGUGGGGAGCGAACAGGAUUAGAUACCCGGGUAGUC